CCCCCCCCCCCCCCCCCCCCCCCCCCCCCCCCCCCACCGCUCAGCUUGCCGGAGCCGCCCGCUGCGCCCCCUUCGCCACGGGAGCCGCGGGUCGCCGGAGCCGUUCCUCCACGACCACCACAACCAUGGCAGGGAGCGCUGCUCUGACCUCCUCUCCUAUGACUCCAAGUCUGACGAUGCCCGCGACCAGGCGUGCUCCCCUCCAUGGAUAGAAAGGCAGCUUUGGAGAGGGGUCGCAAAGAUCAAGGCUAUCAUAUCAAGUAUUGUGCUCAAAACGUCCAUCGGGUGCAUCCAUAUCGCCCUAGUUCAUUACCAACCACCACGCGAUUUACAUCCACUGCGAUCAUGGAUGACCACGUGAGACAUCGUCGCCGUCCUUCUCCCAGAUACAAUGGUCGGCUAAUACGGUAUUUUGAUAUGCUAAUCAUGCUUCCGUUUCACUGAACUCACAGAACAAUACUACUUACUUUCUACUAAUAGUGUUCUGUGAACUGCAAAAUUCAGAAUUAUCGCAACAUUUUCAUGAUCUAUAUUCCAGCUUUUAGUACAUGGUUUGUUUGAGAAGCGGAUAAGUGGUCAAGGGUCGUAUAUAAGAAUAUUGCAGGUCUAUCUACACUCUUCUCAGCCUGGAAAUCAUUAUAUGCUUGCUGACUUGCUUUGCUCACAUUGCCGCCGAAACUGUGAGCGGUCCUUGCAUGUCUUGUGAAUUCAUUGAAAGCGUCUAAAAUAUGGAGUUGCAGUGUGGCUGCUAACUGCUACUUUCAUGUUAUCACAAGAAGGCCAAAGCUCUCAUUUUCUAGAUAUUUCGAGUUUAAACAUGAAAGAUAUUUGAAGAAAGGAAUUUUCAGUAUCAUAUAUCUAAGCAAUUAUGUUUUGAAACGGAAUUGUUGGCUCAUAAUAAUAGUUUGCUGAAUUCUUCCAAGUCCCAGUUAGAUUCUUCAAACUGUAUGACCUUAGAUGUAUUGUGACCUGAUGAUCGUCGUAUUUUUUUGAUAUACUAGAAGCUGCAAUCACUGCUGAUCGUCCCAUUUAUCUGCUAUUUGACUUGUGAUGGUUUAAUAAUCUUUAACCUUCAUGAUUCCCAGCCUCCCAGGUGACCUAACUGGGAAAUUUGACAAAUUUAAGCAAUUCAUGAAUCUGUCAAAAUUUGAGCUGUGAAUGGGUAGGCCUCUCGGUGAUGGCUUCUCAGGGGGUUGUCCUGUUAUCAGAGGGGAUAAUGGUCAUCAAUCAAGUAGCUACAUGUUCACGAAUACAAAGCUUAAGCCUUCCGAAGUUAUUCCAGAGGUAUUAAUUUCUACUGCCCAAGUGGAUAUUGGUCCUUUUGGAAGACAAUUUCAGUUUGGCCAUCCUCACACCAUUGAGGUUAGAUUCUUGAUCUCACUGUGAUGGUUCCUUUGUGUGUUCUUGCGCUUUGGUGUUUCUUACAGAAUUAGAUCACAAGGGGAGCUAUAAAAUGAGGAGGAGCUAGACAACCACCAUUUAGGACCUCAAGUAGAUUGGGAGAGUGCAUUGAGGCAAAUGUUAUCUGCCAAUAUUUUAGUCUUGUUGUCCAAAUUUGUUAUUUUCAUUCUCCUGCUCCUUCCCCACUGAUUCUCUUCUCUGCACUCUACGGUUGCAAAUUGGCUACAAGGCUUUCACUUCAAUAAGGUGAACAGCCAUGCCGGGUGGAUAUCCCGGAGGCAAUGGCAGCCACUAAAUAAUAAGUUCGAUUGCCCUCACUAACCCACUAAAUAACCAGCAAUGGCAGCUUGCUCUUUGCAAAGAAAAUUGGGAAUGUUGUGUUUCUGUUCCAUAUAUUUUGGAUUUGUAAUCAAGGGACUUAUACUAUUUUUCUGUGUUCUGGUCCAUGUGAAUUGCCUGGGUCAACUAUGAAUGGUUUUUUCAAGUCUGCGCACCCCCCUUCUUUUCACAAGUACUUGCAGCUAUGUGUGGAAUACGAUGCCAUUGCAUAUCGUCACUUGUUCUUUAGCCGAUCAUUAACAUAAUCAUUCAUGUUUAAGUUUAUCAAUGUAUAACUCAUUGUAAGUUUUGGCAGUGUGUACAGAUAACAAUAUUCAUCUUUAUGUUUAUCAAUAUACAACUGCUUAUAAGUUCUGACAGUGUGUAGAGAUAACUUAAAUCAGACUGUCCAGUUUUUUAAACUUAAGGUGUGAUUCACAACCAAUCACUUUCGCUAAUGAUGUAGGGCGCGUCUGCAAGUCUGCAUUUCCAAAAAAAUUCCUUGUUAAUAUUAUACAACUUAAGCUAAUUUUCUUUUUACAGUUUGGUUUUUAAGUUUCAUAUUUCUAUGAUUUUUUAUCAUACUGCUUUAAAAAGGUCUGCCUUUGUACUGUACCAAUUUAGCAAGCCAAACAAAAUUUAUCUUUUUUCCUGCACAAUUAGUGGAAAUCAAAAGAUAGAAGGCAUCAUUUUAACUUACUGUACCAAUUUAUAAGAAGUUCUAUUGUUCUUACUAGCCCACUAAGUAACCAGUGAUGGCAGCAUGCUGUUUGCAAAAGAAAAUCGACAAUGUUGUUCUGGUGUUCCUGAUGUUUCAGUGAAGGAACUUCCACUUUUGUUCUCUAUGCUAAUUCAUGUCGAUUGCCUUGGCCAGCUAUGAAUGAUUAUUGCUGGUGGCAAAUUUACUCCAAUUAUUUAUUUGCUUCCUUCUACUGCAAUUUAUAAGUUUCUUACAGGAUAGACAACAAAGAAGAAUUAACAAGACAAUGUUUUGUAUGCACGACCUCUCCCUUCCAUUUCUGCAGCUGUGCAACAUAUUUAUCGAUUGUAGACCCAAAAAAGGGAAAUGCUUUGUUGGUGUACAGGCGCUUGACUUAUGAAGCUCAUUUUCAGUAGAUUUUUUGUGUCAUAAAGAAGGUUUAGGUGGAGAAAAGAUAAGCAAGACAAUGCCCUUUCUGAGCAUACCAAAUUCCUGGGAGAUCUCGAGGGCAUGGGGCUCGAUAUAGGCUCGGAAAUUGAUUGUAUGCUCAAACGCAGCGGUGGAGCUCUGACGACGUCUUAGGCGAAGACAAGGCAGAGACUUGAUGAAGGGCCUUUUAGUAUUUGAGUUACACAGAGUCAUAGACGGAGAUGGGGAUGACACGGCGAGCGACGGGAAGACGCGAGGUCGUCAAAGAGGCGGAGUGGCAAAGUAGAGAGAAUUCAGCUGCAAGUACUAAUGCAUGGGUGUAAGAAUUAUGUACCUGGCGGCCUAACCCACAUAGCAAAUCGUCGUCAAAAAAUUAAAAGGGAUAAAAAGUGUGAGAACUUUUGCUAAAUGGAGUUUUCUUUUUUCAUCAAAAGAGAGGCCUCCCUCUCCGAUUUUGUUUAAAUAAAUAAAUGUUCACAAGCUA